UGAACGCUGGCGGGAUGCUUUACACAUGCAAGUCGAACGGUAACAGGUCUUCGGAUGCUGACGAGUGGCGAACGGGUGAGUAAUAUAUCGGAACGUGCCCAGCUCGUGGGGGAUAACGUAGCGAAAGUUACGCUAAUACCUGCAGUACGAUCUACGGAUGAAAGCGGGGGAUCGCAAGACCUCGCGCGAUUGGAGCGGCCGAUAUCAGAUUAGGUAGUUGGUGGGGUAAAGGCUCACCAAGCCAACGAUCUGUAGCUGGUCUGAGAGGACGACCAGCCACACUGGAACUGAGACACGGUCCAGACUCCUACGGGAGGCAGCAGUGGGGAAUUUUGGACAAUGGACGCAAGUCUGAUCCAGCCAUUCCGCGUGCAGGAUGAAGGCCCUCGGGUUGUAAACUGCUUUUGUACAGAACGAAAAGGCUCUUCCUAAUACGAGGGGCUCAUGACGGUACUGUAAGAAUAAGCACCGGCUAACUACGUGCCAGCAGCCGCGGUAAUACGUAGGGUGCAAGCGUUAAUCGGAAUUACUGGGCGUAAAGCGUGCGCAGGCGGUUAUAUAAGACAGAUGUGAAAUCCCCGGGCUCAACCUGGGAACCGCAUUUGUGACUGUAUAGCUAGAGUACGGCAGAGGGGGAUGGAAUUCCGCGUGUAGCAGUGAAAUGCGUAGAUAUGCGGAGGAACACCGAUGGCGAAGGCAAUCCCCUGGGCCUGUACUGACGCUCAUGCACGAAAGCGUGGGGAGCAAAACAGGAU
rnacentral:rRNA from 1 species